rnacentral:rRNA from 1 species
GUGAGGAAUAUUGCACAAUGGGCGCAAGCCUGAUGCAGCGACGCCGCGUGGGUGAAGACGGUUUUCGGACUGUAAAGCCCUUUUCUAGGUGACGAGAGUGGACGGUAGCCUAGGAAUAAGUCUCGGCUAACUACGUGCCAGCAGCCGCGGUAAAACGUAGGAGGCGAGCGUUAUCCGGAGUUACUGGGCGUAAAGCGCGUGCAGGCGGAUUAGUAAGUCACUCAUGAAAGCUCCCGGCUAAACUGGGAGAGGUUGAGCGAUACUGCUAGUCUAGAGUGGAUGAGAGGUAAGUAGAAUUCCUUGUGUAGUGGUGAAAUGCGUAGAUAUAAGGAAGAAUACCAGUGGCGAAGGCGACUUACUGGCAUCCAACUGACGCUCAGACGCGAAAGCAUGGGUAGCGAACGGGAUUAGAAACCCUGGUAGUCC